UGCCAAGCUUGCUAUGAACGAACUGCAUGCGGCCAUUAGUAAACAACAGACUGCUCACCCGGAGGCUGCAUUUAUUGUCGCGGGUGAUUUUAAUCACUCCAACUUAAAGACAGUGCUCCCCAAAUUUCAUCAGCAUGUUUCCUGCCACACUAGAGGAGACAAAACUUUGGAUCAUGUUUACACAAACAUUGAUGGAGCUUACAUCGCAACCCCCCUCCCCCACCUGGGACAGUCUGAUCACCUUUCUUUGUUUCUCACCCCUAAGUAUUCACCCCUCAUCAACUGUGUGAAGCCAUCAGUGAGGACCAUCAAAGUGUGGCCAAUAGGAGCAGACUCUUUACUUCAGGACAGGUUUCAAUACACGGACUGGAGUAUGUUUGCUUCUCAGGCUGCCUGUGACUCUCACACGGACAUUGAUAUCUAUACCUCCUCUGUAAUGGAUUACAUCAACACCACCAUUGACAGUGUUACAACAGAGAAACAGAUCACAACAUACCCUAAUCAGAAGCCAUGGAUGAACAAGGAGGUGCGACACCUGCUGAAAGCCCGCAACGCUGCCUUCAGAUCAGAUGACGCUCAGGCCUACAGCAAAUCCAGGGCUAACCUGAGGAGGGGCAUCAAAAAGGCCAAGUACUGCUACAAGCUAAAGGUAGAGGAACACUUUUCCAACUCUGACCCCCGACGCAUGUGGCAGGGCAUCCAGGUCAUCAGUGACUACAAGCCAAGCAACUCCACUCCAACGGUCACAGACGUCUCUUUCCUUAACGAGCUGAAUGACUUUUAUGCUCGCUUCGACAGUGACAGCAAGGAGACGGCCACCAAGAUCACACUCUCAGCAGACCACCAACCCCUCAAACUCACCUCCACAGAUGUCUACACUGCAUUGAGCCAGAUCAACGCACGCAAGGCUGCUGGCCCCGACGGCAUUCCUGGACGUGUGCUUAGGGCAUGUGCAGAGCAGCUCGCAGGGGUCUUCACAGACAUUUUCAACCUGUCCCUCACCCAAGCAACUGUGCCAACAUGCUUUAAGUCCACAUCCAUUGUGCCAGUGCCGAAACACUCCUCCCCGACGUGCCUGAAUGACUACCGCCCCGUAGCACUCACACCUAUUGUUAUGAAGUGCUUUGAGCGACUGGUCCUAGCUCACCUUAAGAACUGCCUCCCACCCACACUGGACCCACACCAAUUUGCCUACCGUAGCAAUAGGAGCACAGAGGAUGCAGUAAGCACAGUGCUGCACUCGGUACUCACACACUUGGACAAUAACAACACAUAUGUACGGAUGUUGUUUGUUGACUUCAGCUCAGCAUUUAA
rnacentral:lncRNA from 1 species